rnacentral:rRNA from 1 species
UACGUAGGGGGCAAGCGUUGUUCGGAAUUACUGGGCGUAAAGGGCGCGUAGGCGGCACAGCAAGUCGGGAGUGAAAGCCCGGGGCUCAACCCCGGAACUGCUUUCGAAACUGCUGAGCUAGAGUACAGAAGGGGCAACCGGAAUUCCCAGUGUAGCGGUGAAAUGCGUAGAUAUUGGGAAGAACACCUGAGGCGUAGGCGGGUUGCUGGGCUGAUACUGACGCUGAGGCGCGAAAGCCAGGGGAGCAAACGGG